rnacentral:rRNA from 1 species
GGAUGCGAUCAUACCAGCACUAAAGCACCAGA